rnacentral:rRNA from 1 species
UACGUAGGGGGCAAGCGUUGUCCGGAAUAACUGGGCGUAAAGGGCGCGUAGGCGGCUUUUUAAGUCUGGAGUGAAAGUCCCGCUUUUAGGGUGGGAAUUGCUUUGGAAACUGGAGAGCUUGAGUGCAGAAGAGGUAAGUGGAAUUCCCAGUGUAGCGGUGAAAUGCGUAGAGAUUGGGAGGAACACCAGUGGCGAAGGCGACUUACUGGGCUGUAACUGACGCUGAGGCGCGAAAGCUAGGGGAGCAAACGGG